AUUGAACGCUGGCGGCAGGCCUAACACAUGCAAGUCGGACGGUAGCACAGAGGAGCUUGCUCCUUGGGUGACGAGUGGCGGACGGGUGAGUAAUGUCUGGGGAUCUGCCCGAUAGAGGGGGAUAACCACUGGAAACGGUGGCUAAUACCGCAUAACGUCGCAAGACCAAAGAGGGGGACCUUCGGGCCUCUCACUAUCGGAUGAACCCAGAUGGGAUUAGCUAGUAGGCGGGGUAAUGGCCCACCUAGGCGACGAUCCCUAGCUGGUCUGAGAGGAUGACCAGCCACACUGGAACUGAGACACGGUACAGACUCCUACGGGAGGCAGCAGUGGGGAAUAUUGCACAAUGGGCGCAAGCCUGAUGCAGCCAUGCCGCGUGUAUGAAGAAGGCCUUCGGGUUGUAAAGUACUUUCAGCGGGGAGGAAGGCGGUGCGGUUAAUAACCGCACCGAUUGACGUUACCCGCAGAAGAAGCACCGGCUAACUCCGUGCCAGCCGCCGCGGUAA
rnacentral:rRNA from 1 species